AGUACGGGUUACGGCGGCGCAUAGUUAUCACCCCCUGAUUCCCUCCAUUAACUAUCAUCUUCUUCAUUAUCAACACCACCACCACUAUUAUCAUACAACUUAAUGAAUGGUUAUCAAUGGAUUUUGGAUUUGUGUCUCAUGAACCCUAGAAAGAGAGAGAUGGAGAGUGGAAAAAUGGUUGAUUUGAAUAAUGGGUAUGUGCGGAUUCCGAAUUGGUUAAUUUGUGGAUUGAAGAUUAGAUGUGAAGUCUUGGAAAUUCUUAACCUAAUGGAAGGUGGUUUUUUUCCUUCUAAAGAAGCUCAGAUUGCUGCAACAACCUAAGAGGUAAUACGAGAAGUCAGUUUUGGAGUCCUCCCAGUUUACGCCGGCGCAUCGCUAGAAUCCUCCUCCUGCCUUCCUCCAUUAACCAACCAUCUUCACCACCACCACAUCUAUUAUCUUCGGUAUCACCAGCAUCACCAAUGGGUUUUGUGAUUCACGGAAAUUGGGUUUUCAUGAAAUGUGUUCCAUCCAUGUAUUUGAUGGGGUCUUCAUUUCAUCUGAGGGAUAAGUAUAUACUAAAAUCAGUAGAAGAUUUGGGGUGGAAAUCCGUGGAAGCCGACUACUCCCCAGAGGGGGUAAUCUCUGCCGCUACCUCACCAAACACAGCAGCUCAGAAAGCCAAUUCCUGGUGGGGGAUUUUUAUGUCAUCAAAAGUAUUUGUAAGUGUUAAAAAGUUAUAAUCUCAAAUUAAUAGUGUUGGUGUUGUUUAAUUGGUUGGUACUAUGCCAAUUUCAAAAAUAAUUUGUGAUUUGGUUUAGAGAGCAAAGAACAUGUCUUUUAGAUGGUCUUUAGUGUGAGAUCAGCUAAAGUUUGAGUUAUGUUUAGAAUUCGGGCGAACAACAACAGAAGCUUCAUUGUCUCUUCACCAGAAUCUUCAUAGGAGAAUUUGGCACUCUUAGUUUUUUUGCAACACCAGAGGGAUUGGAGUUCCUGUUGAUUUAGAUAUUGUGUUGGUUCAUCACAUGAGGAGAUGCGUAAAAACAUGGAAUGCAGUACCUUCAGAAUACCUUACACAUUAUUCUGCCUAAAAUUGCGAUGCUGAAAGAAAGCAAGUCACGUAAUUGGAUCAAAUUUUAGUUGGAAAGGCUUAAAGACAGUGCUUAAAAUCCUUAUGGCAUAAUGGAUGGAUUCUCCUAAGAAAACUCUUGCGUCUACAGCAAUACAGCAACUUAACUUCAGGGUUUGCUUCACAGCCUCGCAUACUGCUAGACAAUGGGAUCCAGUCUUGAGCCUCCACGUCCUGGACCCCUAGUUGAGGACUAGGUUGAUCUUGUAAACAACUCGGCUUUAGGGUCAGCUUCACAGCAUGAUAUAUACAGUUAUAUAAUGGCAUUCGAUCUGAGCCUCCACGUCCUGUACCACCAGCUGAGAAGCAGGUUGAGCUUGUAAUAACUCAGCUUCAGGGUCAGCUUCACAACCUGACAUACAACUGGACACUGGCAUUUGAUCUGAGCCCCCACGUGCUGAACCCCCAGUUGAGGUUCAGGUUCAUAACUGAGCUUCAGGAUCAGCUUCACAGCCUAUAUUGCUAGACAACGAAAUCCAGUUUGGGCUUAUCACUUGUCAGCAAGCUGAAUAUUCAACACAACAACUAGCAACCAAAGAGCAUGUUGAAUUUCCUUGUCAUGAUGUCGUUGAGCCCCUGGAACCGGUUCUUCAACUGUCUAUGUCAAUUGGCACAUCUCUAGGUGGAAGGGUACAUGUGUAUCAGAUUCCAGAUCUCUAGCGUGGAGAAAGAAUACCUGAAACCUGCUUAUUCUGCAACCAUUUGAGAAGACCUUGAAGAUGGUUUAUUUGAUGACUUUCUUGAAUUGGCACUCCAGUUUGCUGGCCCCUUUCCUCUUGCAUUCUUCUCUGCUGCCUUGAAUUCUACCACAGAAAUCAGAACUGAUGCGUUGAAGCUGCUUGUAAUGUGAAAAAGGCAUGUUCCCCGUAAUGCAGCAACAAUCGAAGCUUGGCUUAACAUAUUUCAGUUUUCGAUAGCGAUGUCAGUAUGUGCCAAUUGUGUGCUUCUGAUGUGCUUGUAUCACGAGGAGGGGAAAUGGAAAAUCGAACAUGGUCUUGCAGGAAUCCUUAUCAAGGAACAAGUUUUGCUAAUGAUCGAAUAAGGGUUCUCCAUUUUGUGCUCAAGGAUUCAGCAUGGGUUAAAGCAAAACGUACUUGAAUUGUCGCUUAUAUUUCCGGGUACUAGCAAUGUCUAAUUUCUUGAGUUAGAAGCAAAAUGUUGCACUGUCUGAACACUAACACGAAUAAGAAGUCCCAUUUUGCACGCCUACUUCUUCUAAAUCAUGAGCCAAAGUCCCAGUGCUGCAAGAAUUGACCACAUGUUUUCAAAGUAGGUGUAUCGCUUUGAAAUUAGAGCGAUAAAUGGAUGAUUAAGUUUUUUUACCUUGUAUCAUGUCCAGGACCACCUGUGAGGCCGAUUCCUUGCCUUAGUCUCAUGGGCCAUUUAGUGUUCCUAAGGCUUAGGGGUUCAGUAUUCUUACUUAUAAAACCACACCAAGCCGUCCUACUUCGGCGGCGCAUUGUUCCCCGUGGUUUCCUCCAUUAAUCAUCUUCUUCAUCAUCGAAACCACCACCGUCAUUGCUAACAUGGGUUUUAUGUCUCAAUGUCUCAUAAACCCUGGAGAGAGGGAAGAAAAAUGGUUGAUUUGAAUAAUCAAUAUCGGAAACAGUUGAUUUGUUGAAUAUCAUCAGAUCUGUCGGUCUUUGGAUUGGUAAGAAUUAGGUGUCCGGAAGAAAUUGAGGUUAUAACACCAGAAAGGAAUCUAGUUGAUCACUGAGGUACUGGGACCGCACAAGAUCUAAUAAAUUAAACGCUGGGGGAAGAGUUUGGAGUUCUCGGAGAAACAUCUGGAGUGGAUUUUCAAGUGUAUGUGAUUUUGCCUCGUUCUCAGAUUUUGACUCAAGCUGGCUACAAGAUUUGAUGAUAUUAACAUGAAAUUAGAUGUUCCCACAAUGAUAUGAUUGCCAUAAUGGCUUCUCUCAUCAGAAUUUUGUUCACCUGAUAUUCUUCUAUCCCAGUGUCUAGAGGAAAAUUCCAAAGGUGUCCUCAGUUACAGGGACAUCAAGUGCAGUUGAUAUGUACGAACCCACUGGAAGUAUACCUGAAGAUUGAGGAGGUCAAGGAGAGAAUAAACGGAUAAGUAUCUUUUGCCUGCUGCAAAAAAACAUAGGUUGCAAGAAAAUCAUGGAAGUGGGAAUGGCAAGUUGGUUUCUGCUGAAGAACAGAAGGUGCAAGAAAAUCCUAUUGGUUCUGUGCUAGGAAAAGGCCCUCAUUUGGUUUUGUUGACAGUAUGGAUGACUGCGAAGAGGACUGUGUUUUCCUCGAGAUGAAACCUUUACUAUAUGAAUAGAUGGUCAGAGAGGGAUGUCUUGGUCAGAUGGAGUGGGUGCACUUGUCUUAGCCUCUGUUUCUCUGAGUUUCUGUGGUAAAAAAGAGUGUGCAGGGGUAGAUGAAUGAAGUAGGAUAGAUGUUGCCCAUCUCCUUUGGAUGUCGGCGAAUGCUACUCGACUGAUUUGUAUGCCAGAAUGCUGUUAAAUGAAGAAAAUUAAGAAAGGUCUAACAGAUCCAGAAUGUAAUGUUGUUUCUGCUAUGUUAUGUUUAGACAUCCUUCAUUACCCA